CAGGAUAGAUAAUAAUAAGGUAUUUGAGGUAGAUAUGUACAUGAAGGCAGGGUAAAGUGACUAGACAUCAGGAUAGAUAAUAAUAAGGUAUUUGAGGUAGAUAUGUACAUGAAGGCAGGGUAAAGUGACUAGACAUCAGGAUAGAUAAUAAUAAGGUAUUUGAGGUAGAUAUGUACAUGAAGGCAGGGUAAAGUGACUAGACAUCAGGAUAGAUAAUAAUAAGGUAUUUGAGGUAGAUAUGUACAUGAAGGCAGGGUAAAGUGACUAGACAUCAGGAUAGAUAAUAAUAAGGUAUUUGAGGUAGAUAUGUACAUGAAGGCAGGGUAAAGUGACAUCAGGAUAGAUAAUAAUAAGGUAUUUGAGGUAGAUAUGUACAUGAAGGCAGGGUAAAGUGACUAGACAUCAGGAUAGAUAAUAAUAAGGUAUUUGAGGUAGAUAUGUACAUGAAGGCAGGGUAAAGUGACUGGGCAUCAGGAUAGAUAAUAAUAAGGUAUUUGAGGUAGAUAUGUACAUGAAGGCAGGGUAAAGUGACUAGGCAUCAGGAUAGAUAAUAAUAAGGUAUUUGAGGUAGAUAUGUACAUGAAGGCAGGGUAAAGUGACUAGGCAUCAGGAUAGAUAAUAAUAAGGUAUUUGAGGUAGAUAUGUACAUGAAGGCAGGGUAAAGUGACUAGGCAUCAGGAUAGAUAAUAAUAAGGUAUUUGAGGUAGAUAUGUACAUGAAGGCAGGGUAAAGUGACAUCAGGAUAGAUAAUAAUAAG